rnacentral:rRNA from 1 species
UACGGAGGGGGCUAGCGUUGUUCGGAAUUACUGGGCGUAAAGCGCACGUAGGUGGCUUUGUAAGUUAGAGGUGAAAGCCCGGGGCUCAACUCCGGAAUUGCCUUUAAGACUGCAUCGCUAGAACGUCGGAGAGGUAAGUGGAAUUCCGAGUGUAGAGGUGAAAUUCGUAGAUAUUCGGAAGAACACCAGUGGCGAAGGCGGCUCACUGGACUGGUAUUGACGCUGAGGUGCGAAAGCGUGGGGAGCAAACAGG